UACGUAGGUGGCAAGCGUUGUCCGGAAUUAUUGGGCGUAAAGCGCGCGCAGGCGGCCUUUUAAGUCUGAUGUGAAAGCCCACGGCUCAACCGUGGAGGGUCAUUGGAAACUGGGGGACUUGAGUACAGAAGAGAAGAGUGGAAUUCCACGUGUAGCGGUGAAAUGCGUAGAGAUGUGGAGGAACACCAGUGGCGAAGGCGACUCUUUGGUCUGUAACUGACGCUGAGGCGCGAAAGCGUGGGGAGCAAACAGG
rnacentral:rRNA from 1 species